AGAGUUUGAUCAUGGCUCAGAUUGAACGCUGGCGGCAGGCCUAACACAUGCAAGUCGAACGGUAACAGGAAGCAGCUUGCUGCUUUGCUGACGAGUGGCGGACGGGUGAGUAAUGUCUGGGAAACUGCCUGAUGGAGGGGGAUAACUACUGGAAACGGUGGCUAAUACCGCAUAACGUCGCAAGACCAAAGAGGGGGACCUUCGGGCCUCUUGCCAUCAGAUGUGCCCAGAUGGGAUUAGCUUGUUGGUGAGGUAACGGCUCACCAAGGCGACGAUCCCUAGCUGGUCUGAGAGGAUGACCAGCCACACUGGAACUGAGACACGGUCCAGACUCCUACGGGAGGCAGCAGUGGGGAAUAUUGCACAAUGGGCGCAAGCCUGAUGCAGCCAUGCCGCGUGUAUGAAGAAGGCCUUCGGGUUGUAAAGUACUUUCAGCGGGGAGGAAGGUGUUGUGGUUAAUAACCGCAGCAAUUGACGUUACCCGCAGAAGAAGCACCGGCUAACUCCGUGCCAGCAGCCGCGGUAAUACGGAGGGUGCAAGCGUUAAUCGGAAUUACUGGGCGUAAAGCGCACGCAGGCGGUCUGUCAAGUCGGAUGUGAAAUCCCCGGGCUCAACCUGGGAACUGCAUUCGAAACUGGCAGGCUUGAGUCUUGUAGAGGGGGGUAGAAUUCCAGGUGUAGCGGUGAAAUGCGUAGAGAUCUGGAGGAAUACCGGUGGCGAAGGCGGCCCCCUGGACAAAGACUGACGCUCAGGUGCGAAAGCGUGGGGAGCAAACAGGAUUAGAUACCCUGGUAGUCCACGCCGUAAACGAUGUCUACUUGGAGGUUGUGCCCUUGAGGCGUGGCUUCCGGAGCUAACGCGUUAAGUAGACCGCCUGGGGAGUACGGCCGCAAGGUUAAAACUCAAAUGAAUUGACGGGGGCCCGCACAAGCGGUGGAGCAUGUGGUUUAAUUCGAUGCAACGCGAAGAACCUUACCUGGUCUUGACAUCCACAGAACUUUCCAGAGAUGGAUUGGUGCCUUCGGGAACUGUGAGACAGGUGCUGCAUGGCUGUCGUCAGCUCGUGUUGUGAAAUGUUGGGUUAAGUCCCGCAACGAGCGCAACCCUUAUCCUUUGUUGCCAGCGGUCCGGCCGGGAACUCAAAGGAGACUGCCAGUGAUAAACUGGAGGAAGGUGGGGAUGACGUCAAGUCAUCAUGGCCCUUACGACCAGGGCUACACACGUGCUACAAUGGCGCAUACAAAGAGAAGCGACCUCGCGAGAGUAAGCGGACCUCAUAAAGUGCGUCGUAGUCCGGAUUGGAGUCUGCAACUCGACUCCAUGAAGUCGGAAUCGCUAGUAAUCGUGGAUCAGAAUGCCACGGUGAAUACGUUCCCGGGCCUUGUACACACCGCCCGUCACACCAUGGGAGUGGGUUGCAAAAGAAGUAGGUAGCUUAACCUUCGGGGGGGCGCUUACCACUUUGUGAUUCAUGACUGGGGUGAAGUCGUAACAAGGUAACCGUAGGGGAACCUGCGGUUGGAUCACCU
rnacentral:rRNA from 1 species